rnacentral:rRNA from 1 species
UCGCUAGUGACUGCGGAAGGACAUUACCGAGUUUUCGAGCUCCGGCUCGACUCUCCCACCCUUUGUGAACGUACCUCUGUUGCUUUGGCGGCUCCGGCCGCCAAAGGACCUUCAAACUCCAGUCAGUAAACGCAGACGUCUGAUAAACAAGUUAAUAAACUAAAACUUUCAACAACGGAUCUCUUGGUUCUGGCAUCGAUGAAGAACGCAGCGAAAUGCGAUAAGUAAUGUGAAUUGCAGAAUUCAGUGAAUCAUCGAAUCUUUGAACGCACAUUGCGCCCCUUGGUAUUCCGGGGGGCAUGCCUGUUCGAGCGUCAUUACAACCCUCAAGCUCUGCUUGGAAUUGGGCACCGUCCUCACUGCGGACGCGCCUCAAAGACCUCGGCGGUGGCUGUUCAGCCCUCAAGCGUAGUAGAAUACACCUCGCUUUGGAGCGGUUGGCGUCGCCCGCCGGACGAACCUUCUGAACUUUUCUCAAGGUUGACCUCGGAUCAGGUAGGGAUACCCGCUGAACUUAAGCAUAUCAAUAAGCGGAGGAAAAGAAACCAACAGGGAUUGCCUUAGUAACGGCGAGUGAAGCGGCAACAGCUCAAAUUUGAAAGCUGGCCCUUUUAGGGUCCGCAUUGUAAUUUGUAGAGGAUGAUUCGGCGAGGGCUCCUGCCUAAGUCCCCUGGAACGGGGCGUCAUAGAGGGUGAGAAUCCCGUAUGCGGUAGGUUGCCUUAGCCAUGUGAAUCUCCUUCGACGAGUCGAG